rnacentral:rRNA from 1 species
GACGAACGCUGGCGGCGUGCUUAACACAUGCAAGUCGAACGGAAAGGCCCUGCUUUUGUGGUGUGCUCGAGUGGCGAACGGGUGAGUAACACGUGAGUAACCUGCCCUUGACUUUGGGAUAACUUCAGGAAACUGGGGCUAAUACCGGAUAGGAGCUCCUGCUGCAUGGUGGGGGUUGGAAAGUUUCGGCGGUUGGGGAUGGACUCGCGGCUUAUCAGCUUGUUGGUGGGGUAGUGGCUUACCAAGGCUUUGACGGGUAGCCGGCCUGGGAGGGUGACCGGCCACAUUGGGACUGAGAUACGGCCCAGACUCCUACGGGAGGCAGCAGUGGGGAAUAUUGCACAAUGGGCGGAAGCCUGAUGAAGCAACGCCGCGUGCGGGAUGACGGCCUUCGGGUUGUAAACCGCUUUCGCCUGUGACGAAGCGUGAGUGACGGUAAUGGGUAAAGAAGCACCGGCUAACUACGUG